UCUCAGCUUCCUGGGUAGCUGGGAUUACAAGCGAAUGCUAGCACGCCCAGCUAAUUUUUCUGUAUUUUUAGUAGAGAUGGGGUUUCACUGGAUUCUUUCACUUAAUUUUUGUUAAAAAAAAAUUAGAUUCAUUUUCUUUUCUUUUUUCUUUCUUUUUUUUUUUUUUUUUUCAAGGAGGAGACUUGCUCUGUCGCCCAGGCUGGAGUGCAGUGGCGCGAUCUUG
rnacentral:lncRNA from 1 species